rnacentral:rRNA from 1 species
UCAGAGCCCGUUAAUGGGUGAUGGCGUGCCUUUUGUAGAAUGAACCGGCGAGUUACGAUUUGAUGCAAGGUUAAGCAGUAAAUGUGGAGCCGUAGCGAAAGCGAGUCUGAAUAGGGCGUUUAGUAUUUGGUCGUAGACCCGAAACCAGGUGAUCUACCCUUGGUCAGGUUGAAGUUCAGGUAACACUGAAUGGAGGACCGAACCGACUUACGUUGAAAAGUGAGCGGAUGAACUGAGGGUAGCGGAGAAAUUCCAAUCGAACCUGGAGAUAGCUGGUUCUCUCCGAAAUAGCUUUAGGGCUAGCCUCAAGUGAUGAUUAUUGGAGGUAGAGCACUGUUUGGACGAGGGGCCCCUCUCGGGUUACCGAAUUCAGACAAACUCCGAAUGCCAAUUAAUUUAACUUGGGAGUCAGAACAUGGGUGAUAAGGUCCGUGUUCGAAAGGGAAACAGCCCAGACCACCAGCUAAGGUCCCAAAAUAUAUGUUAAGUGGAAAAGGAUGUGGCGUUGCCCAGACAACUAGGAUGUUGGCUUAGAAGCAGCCAUCAUUUAAAGAGUGCGUAAUAGCUCACUAGUCGAGUGACACUGCGCCGAAAAUGUACCGGGGCUAAACAUAUUACCGAAGCUGUGGAUUGUCCUUUGGACAAUGGUAGGAGAGCGUUCUAAGGGCGUUGAAGCAUGAUCGUAAGGACAUGUGGAGCGCUUAGAAGUGAGAAUGCCGGUGUGAGUAGCGAAAGACGGGUGAGAAUCCCGUCCACCGAUUGACUAAGGUUUCCAGAGGAAGGCUCGUCCGCUCUGGGUUAGUCGGGUCCUAAGCUGAGGCCGACAGGCGUAGGCGAUGGAUAACAGGUUGAUAUUCCUGUACCACCUAUA